rnacentral:lncRNA from 1 species
ACUUAUUUUUUGAGACAUUAUCUUCUUUGGUAAUUGUGCUCCUCAUUUUGUGAUUGCAUUGCUUCUUUAGAUAAUAUUGAGAAGUGUACUUAGCUUCUCUACAAUAUAAACACAAAUCCUCUUAUCAAUAUUAAAACUUUUCCUACUCUGUGAGAGAUUUAAAACAUAUUGUAUCAAUUUGCAUUCGUUCUGGUCUUGAUGA